GACGAACGCUGGCGGCGUGCCUAAUACAUGCAAGUCGAGCGAGACUCUUCGGAGUCUAGCGGCGGACGGGUGAGUAACACGUGGGCAACCUGCCUGUAAGACUGGGAUAACACCGGGAAACCGGUGCUAAUACCGGAUAAUCCUUUUCUUCUCAUGAGGAAAAGCUGAAAGUCGGUUUCGGCUGACACUUACAGAUGGGCCCGCGGCGCAUUAGCUAGUUGGUGAGGUAACGGCUCACCAAGGCGACGAUGCGUAGCCGACCUGAGAGGGUGAUCGGCCACACUGGGACUGAGACACGGCCCAGACUCCUACGGGAGGCAGCAGUAGGGAAUCUUCCACAAUGGACGAAAGUCUGAUGGAGCAACGCCGCGUGAGCGAUGAAGGCCUUCGGGUCGUAAAGCUCUGUUGUUAGGGAAGAACAAGUACCGGAGUAACUGCCGGUACCUUGACGGUACCUAACCAGAAAGCCACGGCUAACUACGUGCCAGCCGCCGCCGUAA
rnacentral:rRNA from 1 species